rnacentral:lncRNA from 1 species
CGCCGCGGGACACGGCGCGUCCUGUGCCCGCUCCUCUCCCCGCUCCUCUCCCCGCUCCUGCGCCCGGCCGGGAAAAGCCGCCCCCGACGCGUCCGAGCGCAAGGUACACUGGUAAAUAUCUUGAGCAGCCCUGCCUGCAUCAAAGAUUUGUUUGGCUGUGCUCAGCUGUGGACUGAAAGGAGACAGCACAUCGGUUCCCAGUAAAGGUGUGUGUCCUCCAGGAUGUGCUCUGAGGAGUUCAGCAAAAGAGAGGAGGGAGCUUAGCCUGACCAGGGACAUCGUACUCGUGCUGCUGCCUUCUGAUUCCAUAACUCCUUUGUGUGGAUGUCUUUUCCCAGCAGAGUGGAUCAGCUUCUGCCAUUGAGAUUCCUAUUCCACAUCACUGUGUUUACAGUCAACAGUGAGGAAAGGGAUACUUCAAAUUCCCAAAGGUCACAAAAUACUGGGAAAUCAACUCUGGAUCAUGUCUCUCUUAGAGUUAAUCUUCACUCAAGAUGA